rnacentral:miRNA from 1 species
CCGGAUCGGCUCAUGGACGUGGAC